GAUGAACGCUAGCUACAGGCUUAACACAUGCAAGUCGAGGGGAAACGGCAUUGAGUGCUUGCACUCUUUGGACGUCGACCGGCGCACGGGUGAGUAACGCGUAUCCAACCUUCCCAUUACUGUGGGAUAACCUGCCGAAAGGCAGACUAAUACCGCAUAGUCUUCGAUGACGGCAUCAGAUUUGAAGUAAAGAUUUAUCGGUAAUGGAUGGGGAUGCGUCUGAUUAGCUUGUUGGCGGGGUAACGGCCCACCAAGGCGACGAUCAGUAGGGGUUCUGAGAGGAAGGUCCCCCACAUUGGAACUGAGACACGGUCCAAACUCCUACGGGAGGCAGCAGUGAGGAAUAUUGGUCAAUGGACGGAAGUCUGAACCAGCCAAGUAGCGUGCAGGAUGACGGCCCUAUGGGUUGUAAACUGCUUUUGUAUGGGGAUAAAGUUAGGGACGUGUCCCUAUUUGCAGGUACCAUACGAAUAAGGACCGGCUAAUUCCGUGCCAGCAGCCGCGGUAAUACGGAAGGUCCAGGCGUUAUCCGGAUUUAUUGGGUUUAAAGGGAGCGUAGGCUGGAGAUUAAGUGUGUUGUGAAAUGUAGACGCUCAACGUCUGAAUUGCAGCGCAUACUGGUUUCCUUGAGUACGCACAACGUUGGCGGAAUUCGUCGUGUAGCGGUGAAAUGCUUAGAUAUGACGAAGAACUCCGAUUGCGAAGGCAGCUGACGGGAGCGCAACUGACGCUUAAGCUCGAAGGUGCGGGUAUCAAACAGG
rnacentral:rRNA from 2 species